rnacentral:rRNA from 1 species
GACGAACGCUGGCGGCGUGCUUAACACAUGCAAGUCGAACGGAAAGGUCCUGCUUUUGUGGGGUGCUCGAGUGGCGAACGGGUGAGUAACACGUGAGUUACCUGCCCCUGACUUUGGGAUAACUUCAGGAAACUGGGGCCAUUCCGGGUUGGGAGUCCUCGCUGUUAGGUGGGGGUGGGAAUGUUUGGCCGGUUGGGGUUGGAGUGGCGGCUUAUCAGCUUGGUGGUGGGGUAGGGGUUUACCAAGGCUUUGACGGGUUGCCGGCCUGAGAGGGUGGCCGGCCAAGUUGGAAUUGAAAUGCGGCACGGACUCCUACGGGAGGGAACAGAGGGGAAGAUUGCACAAUGGACGGAAGCAUAAUGCAGCGACGCCGCGCGCGGGGUAACGGCCAUCGGGUUGGAAUCCGCUUUCGCCUGUGACGAAGCGUGAGUGACGGUAAUGGGUAAAGAAGCACCGGCUAACUACGUG